rnacentral:rRNA from 1 species
GACGAACGCUGGCGGCGUGCUUAACACAUGCAAGUCGAACGGAAAGGCCCUGCUUUUGUGGGGUGCGCGAGUGGCGAACGGGUGAGUAACACGUGAGUAACCUGCCCUUGACUUUGGGAUAACUUCAGGAAACUGGGGCUAAUACCGGAUAGGAGCUCCUGCCGCACGGUGGGGGUUGGAAAGUUUCGGCGGUUGGGGAUGGACUCGCGGCUUAUCAGCUUGUUGGUGGGGUAGUGGCUUACCAAGGCUUUGACGGGUAGCCGGCCUGAGAGGGUGACCGGCCAGAUUGGGACUGAGAGACGGCCCAGAGUCCUGCGUGAGGCAGCAGUGGGGAAUAUUGCACGAUGGGCGGAAGCCUGAGGCAGCAACGCCGCGUGCUGGAUGACGGCCUUCGGGUUGGAAGCCGCUUUCGCCUGUGACGAUGCGUGAGUGACGGGAAUGGGUAAAGAAGCACCGGCUAACUACGUG